rnacentral:ncRNA from 1 species
AAAUAAAUUUUUUAUGGUUUAUAAAAUUUAUUUUGAAUUUGUUUUACAUAUAAAUUUUAGUGUUAGUUAUUAAUUAUUUAAAAAAUAUUUAAUAUUUACGUAGUAAUUAGUUUUAAAUAAUUUAAGAAAUUAAGAUUUAGUAAUAUUAAAAUUAAUAACUAAUUUUGUGCCAGCAGUUGCGGUUAUACAAAAGUUGAUUUAAAUUUUUUUAGUAAUUAAUAAGUAAUAAUUAUAAAAAUAAUUUAAAAUUUAAAUUUUAAGGUGAAAUUUUAAUUUAAUAAAAAAUUAUUUUAUAAAUAUGAUUUAAUAAAUUUUAUGAAAAACUAGGAUUAGAUACCCUAUUAUUAAAAAUUUAAAUUAAUAAUACUUAAAUAGUAGAUAAUUAUUUAUUAAAACUUAAAUAAUUUGGCGGUAUUUUAGUUCAUUUAGAGGAAUCUGUUUAAUAAUUGAUAAUCCACGAAUAAAUUUACUUAAUUUAUUAUUUUGUAUAUCGUUGUUAAAAAAAUAUUUUUUUAUAAAAUUAAUAUUUAAAAAUUUUUAGUUUAAAUUAAAUCAGAUCAAGAUGCAGAUUAUAAUUAAGAAUAUAAUGGAUUACAAUAAAUUUAUUUUAAUUGGAUUUUAAUAUGGAAUGAUUAAAUAAAAUUGGAUUUAAAUGUAAUUUUAUAUAAAUUUUUAAAAUGAUUAAAUAUUAAAAUAUGUACAUAUUGCCCGUCGCUUUCAUUUAUAAAUUGAAAUAAGUCGUAACAAAGUAGAAGUACUGGAAAGUGUUUCUAGAAAGAU